rnacentral:rRNA from 1 species
UACGUAGGGGGCAAGCGUUGUCCGGAAUUAUUGGGCGUAAAGAGCUCGUAGGCGGUCUGUCGCGUCGGAUGUGAAAAUCCAGGGCUCAACCCUGGACCUGCAUUCGAUACGGGCAGACUAGAGUUCGGUAGGGGAGACUGGAAUUCCUGGUGUAGCGGUGAAAUGCGCAGAUAUCAGGAGGAACACCAGUGGCGAAGGCGGGAUCCUGGGCCGGUACUGACGCUGAGGAGCGAAAGCGUGGGGAGCGAACAGG